GAUGAAGAACGCAGCGAAAUGCGAUAAGUAAUGUGAAUUGCAGAAUUCAGUGAAUCAUCGAAUCUUUAAACGCACAUUGCGCCCGCCAGUAUUCUGGCGGGCAUGCCUGUUCGAGCGUCAUUACAACCCUCAGGCCCCCGGGCCUGGCGUUGGGGAUCGGCGAGGCGCCCCCCGCGGGCACGCGCCGUCCCCCAAAUACAGUGGCGGUCCCGCCGCAGCUUCCAUUGCGUAGUAGCUAACACCUCGCAACUGGAGAGCGGCGCGGCCAUGCCGUAAAACACCCAACUUCUGAAUGUUGACCUCGAAUCAGGUAGGAAUACCCGCUGAACUUAAGCAUAUCAAUAAGCGGAGGA
rnacentral:misc_RNA from 1 species